CAAGAAUGGCAGCACGAGGAGCAGCGUGGCCGAGAACAAGCAUCAGAUGUGAGGCUGUGUGAUGUCACAGAAUCAUUCUGUCACUCAAUGCCAAUGAUUUCCAGGGCUGAUUGCAAGCAAUCAUUAAUCACUUUGUAUUGAGAGCAACCAGCUCCUUCACAUCUGGGGCAAGAACAAGUGGCACCUAUUUAGCCAAUGUUCUGCUCUCAGCGAUUUCACACGUUGUCUUUCAAAAUAAACCAUACUGGGAGAGAUGAAGAAAGAUUAUAUUUUUUUUUCCCCAGGAAUUCAGAUAAUUGAAAACCUUGGUUUACUUCUGAAUUCAGUGUUCCCCAUUCACACUGACAAGAGAGUGCCAGUGAACUACAGGGACUGUCCGAUGUGGAAUUAAUGAAGCUGCUGUAAGAAUAUUGACAAUUUCUGAGUAUUAUUAUACUUCUCUGUAUGGUUAUUAGAGAGAAGAGCAAGAUCAUAUGACAGCUUUUCCUUUUUUACUCACCUGCAUUGGAAAAGGCUGCUGUAAAUCAGGCAAAAACUGAAAAAAACCCCAACAAACCCAAACCAAGCCACGAGGUGAAUAUUUGAUAAGAACAAAUGUGGAUCUGAGCAACAGGAGCAACCUCAGAUGUGUCUUAUUUUUUUAAUUGGACAGUGAUUUUUCUGGCUCACACACAUCCUUUGAAUAUCUCCAGCUUUGUGUGGCCCAGCUCUAGCAGCAGAAAAUGAUGGAAAGAGUUGGGUUAGGAGGAGAUGAGCUGGAGUUUAGCUUCUCCAUAUCUGAGGAAAGGAAUCCCAUGAGAAGGAAGCAAUGCCAUGGAAGAAGCUCAUGGCACUCCUGGAGCCCCAGCAGGUGCUGGAAUUCAUAACUAAGAGCAUAGAAACUGCACAGGUUCCCUUGGAGACUGAGGAGAUUGAUAAAGGACUGGUUAUGAAGUGUUGUCCUUGGUCAUCUGAGAGCAGUGGAGCUGAGAACAAGCUCUGGAAAGGACUCAGAAAGAAGACUCAGCAGAUGGUACAUGCAUGAUGUGAAAAGAACACAGAGAGAAAACUGUGCUUGCCUUACCUGGGCCAAGCCCCUUCCCAAGAGCUUUCUUUCACUCUCCUGUUGAUGUGCCCUGUGUCUCCAUGAGCUGGGGAUCUGUAAAAAAAAAGAUCCACUGGGAGUUUUUAGCACUUUAAGGUACAACAAUGGUGGCACAUGUGCUGUUCCAGUGGAUUCUGAGAGGGCUUAUUCUGACUUUUCUGCUGAAAACUACUCUGUCCCUAAAUCCAGAUGAUCCAAAUGUUUGUAGUCACUGGGAAAGCUACGCCGUGACCGUGCAGGAAUCUUACGCUCAUCCCUUUGACCAGAUCUAUUACACACGAUGCACAGACAUCCUCAACUGGUUCAAGUGCACCAGGCACAGGAUCAGCUACAAGACCGCCUAUCGCAGGGGGCUGCGCACGAUGUACCGGCGACGCUCCCAGUGCUGCCCCGGCUACUACGAGAGCGGGGACUACUGCAUACCACUGUGCACAGAGGAGUGUGUGCAUGGAAGAUGUGUCUCUCCUGACACGUGUCACUGUGAACCAGGCUGGGGAGGGACUGAUUGCUCAAGUGAUUUGGCCACCUCUGAUGGGCUGGGGGAGUCCAGCACCUCUUCGGCAGAGACUGGUGGGAGCAGCAGCUACAACAGCUGCGACAGCGAGCACUGGGGUCCCCACUGCAGCAACCGGUGCCAGUGCCAGAACGAAGCGCUCUGUAACCCCAUCACGGGAGCCUGCGUGUGCGCCGACGGCUUCCGCGGCUGGCGCUGCGAGGAGCUCUGCGAGCCGGGCACCUACGGCAAGGGCUGCCACUUCCAGUGCCAGUGCCACCACGGGGCCACCUGCGACCACCAGACGGGCGAGUGCCACUGCGCGCCCGGAUACACCGGAGUGUUCUGUGAGGAGCAGUGUCCCCCCGGCAGCCACGGAGCCCAGUGCGAGCUGCGCUGCCCCUGCCAGAACGGGGGAGUUUGUCACCACAUCACUGGGGAGUGCUCCUGUCCUGCUGGAUGGAUGGGGCUGGUGUGUGCACAGCCGUGUCCUCCUGGAACCUUUGGAAUUAACUGCAGCCAGGACUGUCCAUGCCACAACGGAGGACACUGUGACCCCGUGACAGGAAAAUGCCUGUGUGCAGCUGGCUAUAUAGGAGACAGGUGUCAGGAGGAGUGUCCCAUCGGCACCUACGGCUUCCAGUGCACACAGACCUGUGACUGCCAGAACGGGGCCAAGUGCUACCACGUCAACGGAGCCUGCAUCUGUGACCCCGGCUUCAAAGGCAUCCACUGCCAGGAAAGAAUGUGUCCUGAAGGCUUUUAUGGCCUCAAAUGCAACAAGAGAUGCCCUUGCAAUAUUACCAACACCCUCAGUUGCCAUCCUCUGUCUGGGGAGUGCAGCUGCAAGGCUGGCUGGGCUGGGCUCUACUGCAACGAGACGUGUCCCGUGGGUUAUUACGGCGAGGGCUGCCGGGUGCCCUGUCCCUGCCACAACGGGGCCGACUGUGACAGCAUCACCGGGAGCUGCAUCUGCGCCCCAGGCUUCAUGGGAGAUGACUGCACCAUUCCCUGCAUGGCUGGAACCUACGGAACCAAUUGCUCUUCGGUUUGUAACUGCAAGAACGAUGGCACUUGUUCCCCUGUGGAUGGGCUGUGCUACUGCAAAGAAGGGUGGCAAGGAGUGGAUUGCUCUAUUCCAUGUUCAAGUGGAAGUUGGGGUCUGAACUGUAACCAGACGUGUUCCUGCAGCAAUGGAGCGUCCUGCAGGCCGGCCGAUGGCUUCUGCCUCUGCUCCCCAGGAUGGCAGGGGGAGUUCUGUGACCAGCCUUGUCCUGAUGGAACAUAUGGCCUUAAUUGCAGUGAGCGUUGUGACUGUAACCACGCGGAUGGGUGUGAUCCUGUCACCGGCUACUGCUGCUGCCUUGCAGGCUGGACAGGCAUCCACUGUGACAACAUCUGCACCCAGGGCCGCUGGGGACCCAACUGCUCCAUCUCCUGCAGCUGUGAGAACGGGGGAUCCUGCUCCCCUGAGGAUGGAACCUGUGACUGUGCACCGGGAUACAGAGGACCCUUGUGCCAGAGAAUUUGCCCCCCUGGGUUUUACGGCCACCACUGCAGCCAGCCGUGUCCCCAGUGCGUGCACAGCAGCGGUCCCUGUCACCACGUGUCCGGACACUGCGACUGCCUGCCGGGCUUCUCCGGCCCUCUCUGCAACCAAGUGUGUCCCAGUGGGAAGUUUGGGAAGGGCUGUGCCGAGGUUUGCCAGUGCACCGAGAACGGGACCUGCAAUCCCAUCGAUGGAUCGUGCCAGUGCUUCCCGGGCUGGAUAGGGAUGGACUGCUCCCAGACUUGUCCCACUGGGUUUUGGGGCCCUGAUUGCUUUCAUUCAUGCAACUGCCACAACGGAGCACUGUGCAGCCCCUACGAUGGAGAAUGUAGAUGUACCCAUGGUUGGACGGGGCUCUACUGCACUCAGCGUUGCCCAGCUGCUUUUUAUGGAAAGAACUGUGCCAAUGUUUGCCAGUGCCAGAACGGAGCCGACUGUGACCACAUCACUGGGCAGUGCACGUGCAGGACGGGAUUUACAGGCAAACAGUGUGAGCAGAAGUGCUCUCCAGGAACAUUUGGUUAUGGUUGCAAACAAUUGUGUGAGUGCAUGAACAAUGCAACGUGUGACCACGUCACAGGCACUUGUUACUGCAGUCCAGGCUUCAAAGGAAUCCGAUGUGAUCAAGCGGCUCUUAUGAUGGAAGAAUUAAACCCCUAUACUAAAAUUAGCCCUGCUCUUGGAUCAGAGAGGCACUCAGUGGGAGCAAUCAUUGGAAUUAUUAUUCUCCUUCUAAUUAUUAUGGUCUUGCUGGCACUCUUUGUGUGGUAUCGACGGAAACAGAAGGAGAAGGGCCAUGACAUGCCAAGUGUAUCUUACACUCCAGCCAUGAGGAUGACUAAUACAGAUUACUCACUUUCUGAUAUAUCCCAAGGUAGCAGCAGUGUUCAUUGUUUUUCCAAUCCAAGCUACCACACUCUCUCAUGUGGGGUGACUUCACGCUUCUUUCCCAGUAAUCUGGAUGGAAACAGCUCCUGUAAGCUCAGUAACAAAAUCCUUGACAGAGAAACUGCAGACUGGAGACCCUACAGCUAUCUGAAUGAACUAGGUGCUUGUGGGAUGGAUAGACGUCAGAACACAUACAUAAUGGAAAAAAGCUUCAAAGACAGCGGGGGCAGCUGGGAUUGCAGCUAUUUUGCAAGUCCCCCUAUUUCACCGGGAGUAUUUCAUAUAUACCAGGAUCUGCCUUUGUACUGUAACCCAGCACAAGAAAAUGCCUCAUCUUUCAUUGCAUCGCUCUAAUUCUAAAUUACUGGCACUGCCCAGCAGGAUGCACACAACAGCAAUGAUUAUAUGAAAGAAUCUGUGUGCAGCUCCAGCACUUGUUCCCUGAACAGCAGUGAAAACCCAUACGCCACCAUUAAAGACCCCCCCAUUUUAACCUGCAAACACUCCGAGAGCAGCUACGUGGAAAUGAAAUCACCUGGUCACAGGGAGUCCCCAUAUUCCGAAAUGCCAACUUCAUCAACAGCCAAUAAAAACAUCUAUGAAGUUGAGCCCACUGUCAGCAUAGUCCAGGACGGCCGCAGUCGGAGUGCCAGUUACCUUCAGAACCCGUAUGACCUGCCUAGGAACAGUCACAUUCCUGGUCACUACGACCUGCUCCCCGUCCGGCACAGCCCGACCCACGGGCCUUCUUGGGACAAGCAGUCUUAGAGAGGGAUGGACUUCACUGGGCACUGUGCUGCCAACACAGACUGUGAGGAAGCAGAGGAGAAGCCGUUCCUUCCUUUCCAGGGACUGGCAAGGACCUAACACGACAUCAGCUUGGGCCAACUGCUGCUGCAUGAUGUUAUUUAUAAAGACAUUUUUGUAUGGGUACCUGGAACUAACGAGAGCCUCCUUCACGUGGGACUGGAGCACAUCACCCCAGGAAGGUGUCUUCAUGCUCCAGGCAAAAACUCUCCGUGACACGUUCUAACCCUGGCUUUGCUGUAAAAUAAACCACAAAAACAUGCUAAGUAGAAGGACUUCAGGAUGUACAUUUCUACCAACUGCAUCAAGAAACUUCUUACUGUUAGGAACAAGGUGACUAGGAAUACGCUGGAAUUCAUUUUCAUCUUUGUCAUGAGAAUGGACAUUUUUCUGAACGAGAGCAGGGAAAUUUGUCAUUUCACUGUCUGGAAAGCUCAUUUACUGCCAUCACCAUGUGCAACCUGUGCAGAUCAUGCUUGGUAAUUAGCACUGAGAUUGUCAUCUCUAUUUUCAGUACCAGAGAAUUUGAAGUGAGGAAUGUUAACACAGACACUUUCUGUGCAGUUUUUAAUAUCUUUCCAAAUGUCCCCUGGUCUUUGCUAAUGAAUGGAAUUUCCACAACAAAUUUCACACCCAUCUUACCACACUUUUAACAUUGAUUGGCACAGGUAGGCUUUGAUUUUCCUUAUGCAGCUUCUCUUUUGGUAGCUAAAAUCCAGCAGAUCUGUCAGUUUAAACUGCUGCCCCUCCAAUUCCUGCCCUGGGACGCUGCAGGUUUGCACAGACCAGCCCUGGUUUCAUUUCCUUUCUCAAAGCUGAGCCACAUCGGCUUCUCUCUCCCAUCUUCCCAAACCAUCUCCUCAUGAUUCACUGUCAGCAUGCCACUGAUGACACCUCUUAAGCUGAUGUGCAUUACCAUGUAGUGCAACUUUAUCCGUUGAUGAUUCUACCUGAAAUGUCAUUAAAUGGAGCUGAAACUGGGUUUUCUUUUUCAGCAGCUGUUUGUGAAGUAAUUAUCAAGGGUCUGACCCAUGGUAAAAUUUUGGACAGAGCCACCAUGAUUUUUUUUUAAUUUAUAAUCUCUAUUGACCUAGAAAGUAGAGUACUUGCCGUUAGUUCCUUGUAGAUUUUGAGCAUGAAGUAGUAUUGACUCUAAGUAUGUAAUUUUAUUAGGCAAACGUGGAAGUAGCAAGUUGAUUGCCUUUUAAAUAUAAAAAUAUUCUGUUGCACAUUCGCCAGUCUGAUGGAAGCAGAAGAAGACGACUCCAGCCCCGUGGGUUUGCUCGCAGCACGAUCCCAGGUGUCACCUGCUGGGCUCGGGGGCAGCAGCUGGAUCCCAGCUCUGGGAAUACUCCUGGAUCCUUGGAGCACCGUGGUAGGGCCCAGCCAUGUCCCCAGAGAUGGGCUCAGCCCUCAUGCCUGGGAUCACAGCCCCUGGCUCUGGGCAUUCCAUCCCUGGGAGCCUUUCCCCUUGGAGGCAGGGCUGUCCAGGUGGUCAGGCUGAGCCUGGACACCCCCAGGCUCCCGGAGCAGGCGCUGUCCGAGCCGCAGGAUCCUGCCCACGAGGUUUCCCGAAUGCUGCAUGUGUGCAUGGGGGCCGUGGCUGAUCAGCAAUAGCAGUUUUGUUUUCCAGGAAAGCCUUAUUUGAGAUGUAAGAAAACAAUUCUUUUGUAGGCCCAGUAGGAAUAUAUUUUACAUACAUGAAUGGAAAGACUUACCUCAAAAAUAUCAGAAGAAAGGCAGUUGGAUAAGGAAUACUUUCAUUAAAACCCACCCUGGCACCCAGCACAAGCAGCCUGAGCUGCUGGCCUGACCCACGUUUGUGUGUUGCUGUAGUUUGCAAUGAGACUCCAGAGCAGAGAUGAGCUCUGUUGUUUGGUUUGUUUUUCAAAGCAGGAUUUCAAAACCAAAUGCAAUGAUGUGCAUAGAGCUUAACAGGAAAAAAACCCAAAAAACCAACAAAAAAAAGUACCUUCUUGUAUAUCAGCAUUAGCUUAGGAAACAGGCACCAAAAUGGCAAUACUUUUUUAAGGCAAGACAGAUUUGUAAUAUAUUUGUUCACUGUGCAAAGGUAUCCUACCUUGUACAAAAUAAAUUGAAUUUCUCUCAAUGUGUAGUUCUCCAACGUACUCAUUUGCAGAGCAAAACUUCCAGCCCUGCACAGAUCCAAGCUCUGCAGGUGAUGUGGCUGCUCCCCUCAGCCAAAACCCCCAAGAACCAGGCUGGGACAGAACUGGCAGGACGGCUCAGAAAACCCAGUGCUGCCAUUCCAAGUUGGAGUAAACCAAAGGUAAGUGGCUGUGCACACCUUUGUCCCCAGUUCCUGGGCAGUCUGACCUCAGUGAGACUCCUGGGAAUGCACAAUCCCAGCUGGAAGAGCCCCUACACACCCUGUGUGGUGACCCUGCCCUGGGCCACCUGCAGGUUCCUUUGGGUGGACACUUGGACACCCACGGUCACCCAGCAGUAAUGGGACAGGACACGAGACAGCCCAGCAGCUCCCAGGGAGCCCAAUGAAUAAAUCACAGAUUUGCAGCAGAAACACCUGCAGAAUUAAUGAGUCCCAGGCAACACAGCCACUGCUAUGUGCUGAAGCCUUUCAAUAUUUGUGCUUCAUAUUUCUAAAAAUCUUGUUAACUAAAGCCCAGCGUGUAAUCUUCUUAUUUGACAAGCCACACUCAAUAAGCUAUUUAAGGCUGGAAAUUCAUCAGGUCUGAAUUUAUAGAGUAAGUAUUUCUAGCUUAAUAAAAAUAUCUUUAAAUCAGAACAAUUCCAUGGCCUUUCUGCUUAAGAGUCAGAACCUCAACUCCCAUCAAAGACAGGAACCACUGAUGCUUGCUGAAUAAUUGUUAAAAGUUGGAGCUUUCAAAUAUGUAAAUGACAGCAAAAACUUUUGGCAGGCAAAGGUCAUUCUGAAGCAUUAUGUGGAAUUCCCAGAAUCUCAGAAAGCUCCUUCCAGAGCCCAAAGCAGUGUCUGUUACCAUCAGCUGUCUCCAUUAGCAGGGAGGAGACACAUCAGUACACAAGUAGUGCCAAUUAUGGAACAGAAUGAUUAAUCAGCAGCUGAACAGGACAAUCCCCUAUUGGAAAGCAUUCAGAUGGAAUAACGACUUGCAUUGUCUCUCCCAAAACACCUCGGGAAGCACCUUCCUGUCCCAGGAGUGUCACCCAGCCCAUGCCAGGAUCUGCUGCCAGGGCCCUGCAAUCCUUAGGCAAACACAGCACAGACCCUGAGAACAGGAGGAAAAGGAUUUCCCAGGUGAGAAGUUCCUUUUCUGUACAGACCCCAUUGGAUUUUGCUUUAGAAGUCCUCAGCCUCUCACAGUGGUUUGUGCUCCCACCGUCUGCACUGCAACUCCAUCUGCUGCAGGAGGAAGCUUUGCCUAAAACCACACAAAAACCAGAUUGAUGUGACAGCAGAGUCGAGUCACCUGCUUAUAGGAAUGAGGAAAGGAAGCAGAGUGAAACGCAUCCUGCAUUUCCAGCUGACAAAUUUAGAACUUGGCUGCCACAAGAAAUAGAUUGAUUCCAAAAUCUGCUCCAGUAUGGGCAGAAAAUGUGCUGCAAGAACAGCUCCUGCAGUGAGUGAGGCUCACACCUCACCCUCAGAGCCAUCCCCAGGGCCACCAGUGCUGCCCCGUUGGUGCUCAUGGCCACCUCUGCAUCAGAACACCACAGCAGGAUCCAAAGCUGCAAAAAGCAGGAGUUGUCUCUCGCCAGCUUUUCUUCCCUGUGGCAACAUGGGGGAAAAAAACCAGUUUGUAAAAGUUAUUCAGAGGUUUGAGUGGAGUGAACCCACAGAAUUUUCUAAGCUUCAAAGCUUUCAAAGCUUCCUGAAGCUGCCAAAGUGCACUGGCCAUGAACUGCAGCAGCCCCAGGAAGUUCAGAGCUGCUCUCAGAGAAGGCUACUGUGCUACACAACCCUUUCAGCUCCUUUUCCAGGGACACUUCCACUUCAGUGUCUUCUCACUGCCUCUUAAGAAGCUCAGAGAUAAAACCUUCAGUCAAAUCCCAAUUCUCCCAAGAAGUGCACCCAACACCACAGUGAGUCGUCCCCUGUAAUUCUUUAUUAGAAUAAUGGAUGAAUAUAUUUUAAAUCAAUCUAAAAAAAUAAUGAAUCAAAGUACAGUACAUGCAUAAAAUACAAAGUAAUUUACAAACAGAUCAAAAUAGCAUCUUCAGAACUAAUAUCAGGAGGAGAAAUGGAGUGAAAAACAAGAAGUGACCGACUACAGCAAUGCCUUCCGUGUGCCUCACACAUCAUGAGCACCGCGAGACAGAAAGGUUGGGAACAGAACACAGCUGGAAGUGCUGACCACAUCUGGAUCUUCCAAGUGGGUCAUAUCAGAGAUUGAGAAACGUCCCCUACAAUCAAUUUCUUCCCUCAGGCAUUUACACAACAGAGAGUUCCUUUAAAUCCUGUGGGAAUGCAGUGGCUGUGGCCCCCAGUGCCAGUGUCAGGCGUGGCUGGGAACAGCACAGAGCGCGUGACGUGCAGUGACAGAAGGCACAGUUCAUGUAUCCCUGAACAAGCAGAUUGGACUGGAUUGGUACAGAGCAACAGAGCACAGGAGGAACACAUCCAGUCAGAAAACUACUCCAGAGGGUUUUUGUUCAAGAACACACAGCAAACAGCUGGAAUAAUUUAAAAAUACUGGAUCAACCAGAACUGAAAACUAAGGCCAGGUAGUGGAAGUUAUUCAUUCAUCAACUCAAGCACUUGAAUAUAUUAAUAUAUGUGGCAUGCAUUAGUAGAUGUGAUAUGUAACAUCCUUCAA